GAUGAAGAACGUAGCGAAAUGCGAUAAGUAAUGUGAAUUGCAGAAUUCAGUGAACCAUCGAAUCUUUGAACGCACAUUGCGCCCGGCAGUAAUCUGCCGGGCAUGCCUGUCCGAGCGUCAUUUCUGCCCUCGAGCGAGUCCAGCAUCUAGGUGCUGGGCCCGCCCGGCGUUGGGGCACUACGGGAAGCCCUGUGCUGUCCCCCGUAGGCCCCGAAAUGAAGUGGCGGUCCUGCCGCGCCCCCUGCGUAGUAUAACAGCUCGCUUCGGGACCCGGUGGAGGCCUGCCGUCAAACCUUACUCUCUAAGUUUGACCUCGGAUCAGGUAGGGUUACCCGCUGAACUUAAGCAUAUCAAUAAGCGGAGGA
rnacentral:misc_RNA from 1 species